AGCAGCCGCGGUAAUUCCAGCUCCAAUAGCGUAUAUUAAAGUUGUUGCAGUUAAAAAGCUCGUAGUUGGAUUUCUGGGAGGGUGCCAAUGUCCGCUUGAUGCGUGUGCAGCGGCGCCCUUCCAUCCUUCGGUUAACGUUUCACGGUAUUCAGUUACUGGUUGCGGGCUCCGAUAUUUUACCUUGAGAAAAUUAGAGUGUUUCAGGCAGGCUUGCGCCCGAAUACAUUAGCAUGGAAUAAUAGAAUAGGACUUCGGUCUCCUUUGUUGGUUUGAGGGACUGGAGUA
rnacentral:rRNA from 1 species